UUGUGGUCAAAUCACGUUGAAACACCAGUUCUCGUACGAUCACUGAAGUUAAGCAACCUCAAAAAUGGUCAGUACCUAGAUGGGGGUACGUCUGGGAAUACCAGGUGCAGCAAG